rnacentral:rRNA from 1 species
CCUACGGGAGGCAGCAGUAGGGAAUUUUCGUCAAUGGGGGGAACCCUGAACGAGCAAUGCCGCGUGAGUGAAGAAUGUCUUCGGAUCGUACAGCUCUGUUGUAAGAGAAAAACGGGUAUCAUAGGGAAUGAUGAUAUCGUGAUGGUAUCUUACCAGAAAGCCACGGCUAACUACGUGCCCGCAGCCGCGGUAAUACGUAGGUGGCAAGCGUUAUCCGGAAUGAUUGGGAGUAGAGGGGGCGUAGGCGGCAAAAACAGUCUGACGUAAAAGGCGUUGGCUAAACCAACGUAAGCUUGGGAAACUGUUAAGCUAGCGUGCAGGAGAGGUGAGUGGAAUGCCAGGUGGAGCGGUAAAAUGCGUAGAUAGAAGGAGGAACACCAGUGGCGAAGGCGGCUAACUGGCCUGUAACGGACGCUGAGGCACGAAAGCGUGGGGAGCAAAUAGGAUUAGAUACCCGAGUAGUC